GCUUACGGCCAUACCACCCUGAACAUGCCCGAUCUCGUCCGAUCUCGGAAGCUAAGCAGGGUCGGGCCUGGUUAAGUACUUGGAUGGGAGACCGCCUGGGAAUACCAGGUGCUGUAAGCU
rnacentral:rRNA from 1 species